ACAAUAAUCACUAAACCAAACAAAAUAAAGAAAACAUCCCAAUAAAUAACCUUAAACCAAAAUAAAUGAAUAAAAGAAAAAAUAAAAUUUUAACAUAAUCAAAUUGAAAAUCAACAUAAAAUCCACAAAACUAAAUAAAAACAAAAAUUAUAAAAAUAAAAUGAAGAGCUAAUCCCCCUCAAUCUUAACGCCCCAUAAAAUAUGAUAAACUUACAACAAACAAUAUAGAUAAGACGCAUGAAUUAAAUUCAUUUCUUGGAAAACCAGAAACCAC
rnacentral:rRNA from 1 species